AUAGCUUUAGGGCUAGCCUCAAGGUGAGAGAUACGGAGGUAGAGCACUGAAUGUCCUAGGGGGUAUUGCACCUACCGAAGACUAUCAAACUCCGAAUGCCGUCAUCUUAUACUUGGGAGUCAGACUGUGGGUGAUAAGAUUCAUAGUCGAAAGGGCAACAGCCCAGAUCGUCAGCUAAGGUCCCUAAAUGUAAGUUAAGUGGUAAAGGAUGUGGGAUUGCACAGACAACCAGGAUGUUGGCUUAGAAGCAGCCACUCAUUCAAAGAGUGCGUAAUAGCUCACUGGUCGAGUGAUCCUGCGUCGAAGAUUUCCUGGGCGAAAACUUACUACCGAAGCUACGGCAUCAGGAAUGAUGGGUAGGGGAGUUUCCCAUACGGGUUGAAGCAUGACCGUAAGGACAUGUGGACAGUAUGGGAGGGAGAAUGUUGGCAUGAGUAGCGAGAUGUGGGUGAGAAUCCCACAGGCCGUAAACCCAAGGUUUCCAGGGGAAGGUUCGUCCGCCCUGGGUUAGUCGGGACCUAAGCUGAGGCCGAAAGGCGUAGGUGAUGGACAACAGGUUGA
rnacentral:rRNA from 1 species